rnacentral:rRNA from 1 species
UACAGGGGGUGCAAACGUUGCUCGGAAUUAUUGGGCGUAAAGCGCGCGUAGGCGGCUACCUAAGUCGGAUGUGAAAGCCCCUGGCUUAACCGGGGAAGUGCACCCGAAACUGAGUAGCUAGAGUGCAAAAGAGGGUCGCGGAAUUCCCAGUGUAGAGGUGAAAUUCGUAGAUAUUGGGAGGAACACCGGUGGCGAAGGCGGCGACCUGGGUUGACACUGACGCUGAGGCGCGAAAGCGUGGGGAGCAAACAGG